AACGAACGCUGGCGGCAUGCCUAACACAUGCGAGUCGAACGAGACCUUCGGGUCUAGUGGCGCACGGGUGCGUAACGCGUGGGAACCUGCCCUUAGGUUCGGAAUAACUCCCCGAAAGGGGUGCUAAUACCGGAUAAUGUCUUCGGACCAAAGAUUUAUCGCCUUUGGAUGGGCCCGCGUUGGAUUAGCUAGUUGGUAGGGUAAAAGCCUACCAAGGCGACGAUCCAUAGCUGGUCUGAGAGGAUGAUCAGCCACACUGGGACUGAGACACGGCCCAGACUCCUACGGGAGGCAGCAGUGGGGAAUAUUGGACAAUGGGCGAAAGCCUGAUCCAGCAAUGCCGCGUGAGUGAUGAAGGCCUUAGGGUUGUAAAGCUCUUUUACCCGGGAUGAUAAUGACAGUACCGGGAGAAUAAGCUCCGGCCAACUCCGUG
rnacentral:rRNA from 1 species